rnacentral:lncRNA from 1 species
AUGGAAAUGCAGAAAUCACCCGUCUUCUGCGUCGCUCACGCUGGUUGCUGUAGACCGGAGCUGUUCCUAUUCGGCCAUCUUGGCUCCUCCCGUGAGAUUUUUAAAAACCAGAAAUGAAGAAGCGGGAGGCAGAAGCAGUAUACUCAAAGAUAUGACAAUAUAAGAAGAACUUGGUCCAACAUUACUGACUGAAGAUAGAGGUAUAGGACCACAAGCCAAGAAAUGUGGGCAGUCUCUAGAAACUGGAAAAGGCAAGAAAUCUCCUCUACAGCAUCUAGAAGGGAAUGGAGUUCUGCCAACACCUUGGUUUUAGCCCAGUGUGGCCUAUUUGCAUUUCUGACCUCCUAAACUGUAAGAUAACCAAUUUUGUUGUUUAUGCCAUUAAUAUUGUGGUGAUAUGAGACACCAGCAAUAGGAAACAAUAAUACAUGUUUGGUACCACAAAUGUUGUGCUGCUACAAGAAAUACCUCAAAAUGUGGAAGUCACUUUGGAAUUGGGCAAUUGGUGGAGUUUGGAAGAAUUUUCAGGAGCAUGAUAGAUGAGGCCUAAAUUGCCUUGAACCUACUCUCAGUAGAAAUAGGGAUCUUAAGAACUCUGCUGGUGAAGACUCAGGAUCAAGUAAGGGGCACAGCAGGGAAAGCCUAUAUUGUCUUAGAGAAUACCUAAAUCAUCAUAAAUAGGCUGUUGGUAGAAAUAUGGGUGCUGCUGGUGAAGACUCAAAAUGAAUUGAGAGGCGUGUUAUUGGGAACUGGAGUAAAGUGAGUCCUAGUUACAGAGCAGCAGAAGACUUAGUGGAAUUGUGACCAACCAUUAUUUGGAAAGCAGAACUUGUAGACUAUGAAAGUGGACAUUUAGCUGACAAAAUUCCAAUCAAAGAGAUGAAAGUCUGGACAUUACCCGCAACAUAUUCCCUCCUACCCCUUCCCAAUUGAUCCCUGCCCCCACAUCUGUAAAGGUAACCUCUGUUUCUUCAACUAUAGAUUAGAUUAGCUUGUUUUAGAUCUUUAUAUAAAUGGAAUCACCUAAUAUGUACUCUUGUGUAAGGCUUCUUUCACUCACAUCAUAUUUUGGAGAUUAUCUGUGUUUGUGGGUGUAUUGGCAGUUCAUUUUUUUUCCAGAGUAGUAUAUCAUUGUUUAAAUACCACGGCUUGUUUACCUGCUUUCCUAUGAAUGGACUGUUUCCAGUUUGGGCUGUCAUGAAUAAAGCUG